UGUGCAUUAGUGUGGCGAUCAUUUGACGUGCACAGACUCUCUUCUCAGUCUGAUACACACUGCGCUAGAGCACGGUUUGUGUUUUUGCCCCUUCACGCAACAAUUUUUUCUCUCCAUAGAAACGUGAAUAUCUCAUUCAUUUUUGAGCGUACAUGAAUUGAUGAUAUGUAUAAUUUGUAGCUAAAGUCGAGUGCUUUCACGUAAUAAUAAGUAAUUUUAAUUAUUUCUGGUUAGUGAAAAUUUUUUGAUGUGUGGCGUGAAAUUUGGUAACUGGGGGUAAAGUGGGACACUUUGGUGGGGUUUUAUAGGUACAUAUCUAUAAAUUUGUGCCAAAAAGACGCCAUUGGAAGAAUCGACGUUGAAAUCGGGUGAAAUAGCAAUGUCCAGUGAACCAAAAUUAUGAUUAUUACAGCUAGGUGGUAUCAAAUAUUACCGGAAUACCGAGAGACUAUCGCGACUCUACUAAGAUACUGCGCAUCGUCAUUUCUUUACUUUUCCAAAAACCGAACGAUGAUUUGGUAAUCGUCAGCAACGCCACUUAUAAAAUUCGCAUUGUCGAAUUAUCUGUCAAACCGCACGAACACAAUGACAAAUAAAUCAACUUAUUCAAAAAAAUUCAGUAUCAUUAACGGCG